GAUGAACGCUGGCGGCGUGCCUAAUACAUGCCAGUCGAGCGAACAGACGAGGAGCUUGCUCCUCUGACGUUAGCGGCGGACGGGUGAGUAACACGUGGAUAACCUACCUAUAAGACUGGGAUAACUUCGGGAAACCGGAGCUAAUACCGGAUAAUAUAUUGAACCGCAUGGUUCAAUAGUGAAAGACGGUUUUGCUGUCACUUAUAGAUGGAUCCGCGCCGCAUUAGCUGGUUGGUAAGGUAACGGCUUACCAAGGCAACGAUGCGUAGCCGACCUGAGAGGGUGAUCGGCCACACUGGAACUGAGACACGGUCCAGACUCCUACGGGAGGCAGCAGUAGGGAAUCUUCCGCAAUGGGCGAAAGCCUGACGGAGCAACGCCGCGUGAGUGAUGAAGGUCUUCGGAUCGUAAAACUCUGUUAUUAGGGAAGAACAAAUGUGUAAGUAACUAUGCACGUCCUGACGGUACCUAAUCAGAAAGCCACGGCUAACUACGUG
rnacentral:rRNA from 1 species